rnacentral:lncRNA from 1 species
UGUUUCAUAGUGUAGUGUGUAAUAUAUUUUGAACUAUAAUCUUUAAAAACAAUUAUUCUGACGUAAAUGUCAAUGUCAAUGUUUUCUCAUUUUUUCUUAAUGAGUCCAAUAGAAGAAUCUGUUUGACAAUUAAAAGUAAUUUUAUAGAAACCAUUAGAAAUCAUAUGAAUAGUCAUAAGUUAUAAGUGAUAUUAGUUAUUAUGAGUGAUUAUUGGAAUGUAACAGGGAACAUCAAGAGGAGCUUGGACUCCUAAAGGAUAUUGUAACAAACCAAUAUUUGAAAUAAAUAUUAAACUAUGUUAAAAAAAAACAAUUAUUCUGACGUUGCAAAAACAAAAUAAAUGUGCCUGUAUAUAUUUUUAUUUAUUAUUCUUUUAUGUACCUUUUAUUAGUUAAUGAUUUACUUUUGAAUGUGAAUCGUCUUCUAAAUGGCUGACGUUAUUUUGUUAUCAAACCAUAGACAUAAUUUAGUCAUGUGACCGUGACGUCAUCAACGUUUUUUCAUUGUUUUCUACGGUUUAAAAUUGAAUUUAGAAUUAAAUUAUAAGAAAUGACUGUAAUAUUUUUUCUGUCUAUUCGAAAUAACAUAAAAAUGUGGUCACAAUGUUAAAUAACCCGCUACCCUCGUUAUUCAGUGUGCACCAAAAUGUUUAUGUUGGAUAGAUGUUCAUAGACAGAAAAAAUAUUACAGUCAUUCCUUAAAUAGAUUAAACUCAACGGGGG